UACGUAGGUCCCGAGCGUUGUCCGGAUUUAUUGGGCGUAAAGCGAGCGCAGGUGGUUUAUUAAGUCUGGUGUAAAAGGCAGUGGCUCGACCAUUGUAUGCAUUGGAAACUGGUAGACUUGAGUGCAGGAGAGGAGAGUGGAAUUCCAUGUGUGGCGGUGAAAUGCGUAGAUAUAUGGAGGAACACCGGUGGCGAAAGCGGCUCUCUGGCCUGUAACUGACACUGAGGCUCGAAAGCGUGGGGAGCAAACAGG
rnacentral:rRNA from 1 species